UACGGAGGGUGCAAGCGUUAUCCGGAUUCACUGGGUUUAAAGGGUGCGUAGGCGGAUAUGUAAGUCCGUGGUGAAAUCUCUGGGCUUAACCCGGAAACUGCCAUGGAUACUAUGUGUCUUGAAUGUUGUUGAGGUGAGCGGAAUAUGUCAUGUAGCGGUGAAAUGCUUAGAUAUGACAUAGAACACCAAUUGCGAAGGCAGCUGGCUACGCAUAUAUUGACACUGAGGCACGAAAGCGUGGGGAUCAAACAGG
rnacentral:rRNA from 1 species